AAUAGAAGUACGCAGGCUAAGAUCGCCACAUCCUGUGGCAAUGCCUGCAUGACCUACUUCCUGUAGG
rfam:Sporosarcina newyorkensis 2681 genomic scaffold SCAFFOLD1, whole genome shotgun sequence.